CUACGCGUGGGUGAAGAAGAAGCACCCAAACAAAAAAAAAUAUCAAUGGAUACAACGAGGUUCUGGUGGAUUUCUAUGGCCGUAUAAGGGGAUUUUAAAUAAGGGAUCAUGUUGGCUGCCUUGGGCUUAUAUAAAAAACUGAUGGCCGAUUCUGAAAGAUGGCGGAUCGAAGCAGAAUGAACUGGUUUUGUUCCAGAUGGGCCGGUGGACUAGGCAUUAAGGUGGUUCCGGAAAUUUAAGCUAAUAAAAUUCAAUUGGACCUGGGAUUUGGCCUUGGUUGCUGCUUCCGUUCAGGAAAGGUUAUAAAUUCAGAUUGGACCUGGACCGGAAGCUUGAAUGCGGUAUAUGAACCCAAUUAUUGUUCUAAAACGUUGAAUCAUCAAAUUUUGGUUCCUGAAGAAAAUCAACAAUACCAGCCAACUGUAAGAUCGAGAGGAAAAUUUCUCCAAUCAACGCAAAUUUUAAUCGGUAAGCGAAAACUUUAAAUUUCUAUUAUUAACAUCUAAUUUUAAGUUAUUCUGUUUAGUCUAAUAUUAGAUUUAGUAUUUAAAUUAGAUUUAAAAGCAAACUAUAGAUAUAUUGC